CAGCUGGUAGCCCAUCUCUGUGGCCAGUUCAGAGUCGCUUGAGGCCUGUGCAAACGCCCGCUCCACCAUCCUAGAGAGUGCAGCGCCAGCAUCCUCAGAGCCUCCAGGUUAUUUUUAUCUCGCUGGAGAAGCCUGAAGUUCAGAAGAUGAAAUUAAAGUCAAAGUCUGUUGAUGUGUAAAACAGAUGUUCUGAGAUGUCUUUGCAUAAAGCAUUUUUUCCCUGAAUAUUUAGAUAUACAUUUUCAAUAUCCAUUAUAAACAUUACUUUAUUCUGUGACAAACACCGCAUUAUAAACUUUUCUGCUUGUUUAUUUCAGGGAAACUCAGCUCACAAAUAUCACCUGCUCUAUCAGAAUCAGAAUGAGCUUUAUUGCCAGCAGCCACAGCAGCAUGCCAGCGUAAUACAGAGCUUUGGGACUCGCCGUCUUCCUCUCCUCCUUCACCC